AGUGAACGCUGGCGGUAGGCCUAACACAUGCAAGUCGAACGGCAGCACAGGAGAGCUUGCUCUCUGGGUGGCGAGUGGCGGACGGGUGAGGAAUACAUCGGAAUCUACUUUUUCGUGGGGGAUAACGUAGGGAAACUUACGCUAAUACCGCAUACGACCUACGGGUGAAAGCAGGGGAUCUUCGGACCUUGCGCGAUUGAAUGAGCCGAUGUCGGAUUAGCUAGUUGGCGGGGUAAAGGCCCACCAAGGUGACGAUCCGUAGCUGGUCUGAGAGGAUGAUCAGCCACACUGGAACUGAGACACGGUCCAGACUCCUACGGGAGGCAGCAGUGGGGAAUAUUGGACAAUGGGCGCAAGCCUGAUCCAGCCAUACCGCGUGGGUGAAGAAGGCCUUCGGGUUGUAAAGCCCUUUUGUUGGGAAAGAAAUCCAGCUGGUUAAUACCCGGUUGGAUGACGGUACCCAAAGAAUAAGCACCGGCUAACUUCGUGCCAGCCGCCGCAGUAA
rnacentral:rRNA from 1 species